rnacentral:rRNA from 1 species
AACGAACGCUGGCGGCAGGCCCAACACAUGCAAGUCGAGCGCCCCGCAAGGGGAGCGGCAGACGGGUGAGUAACGCGUGGGAAUCUACCUUUUGCUACGGAAUAACUCAGGGAAACUUGUGCCAAUACCGUAUGUGCCCUUUUGGGGAAAGAUUUAUCGGCAAAGGAUGAGCCCGCGUUGGAUUAGCUAGUUGGUGGGGUAAAGGCCUACCAAGGCGACGAUCCAUAGCUGGUCUGAGAGGGUGAACGGCCACAUUGGGACUGAGACACGGCCCAA